UAUCGAUUGAUUUAAUGGGUCCUUGC
rnacentral:sRNA from 1 species